CCUACGGGAGGCAGCAGUGAGGAAUAUUGGUCAAUGGGCGCGAGCCUGAACCAGCCAAGUCGCGUGAGGGAAGACGGUCCUAUGGAUUGUAAACCUCUUUUGUCGGGGAGCAAAAGACGCCACGCGUGGCGUUACGAGAGUCCCCGCAGACAAAGCAUCGGCUAACUCCGUGCCAGCCGACGCGGUACUACGGAGGAUGCGAGCGUUAUCCGGAUUUAUUUGGUUUAAAGGGUGCGCAGGCGGAAGGUCAAGUCAGCGGUAAAAUUGAGAGGCUCAACCUCUUCGAGCCGUUGAAACUGGUUGUCGUGAGUGAGCGAGAAGUAUGCGGAAUGCGUGGUGUAGCGGUGAAAUGCAUAGAUAUCACGCAGAACUCCGAUUGCGAAGGCAGCAUACCGGCGCUCAACUGACGCUCAUGCACGAAAGUGUGGGUAUCGAACAGGAUUAGAUACCCGAGUAGUC
rnacentral:rRNA from 1 species